rnacentral:lncRNA from 1 species
GUAUUUAAUUUGGGAAUAAAAUGGGUUUGGAUUGAGCCAUUUAUUAAAUAAACGGGAAACGGGAAUCCGUAUACAUAGACGUGGUUUCCUCCCUCCCCAUUUCCCUAGAUCUGUAGAUCAAAAACAAAAAUGAAUACCAAAAUUGACCAAAAAACCCUUACACAUGGACAUGGAAAUGGACAUACUCCCCUUUCCCGUACAGGGCCCCGUCAAUCCCAUUCUCAC